AGAUCGAACUAUAGAGUUUGAUCCUGGCUCAGAUUGAACGCUGGCGGCAUGCUUUACACAUGCAAGUCGAACGGUAACAGGUCUUUCGGGAUGCUGACGAGUGGCGAACGGGUGAGUAAUGUAUCGGAACGUGCCCAGUAGUGGGGGAUAACUACUCGAAAGAGUGGCUAAUACCGCAUGAGAUCUCUGGAUGAAAGC
rnacentral:rRNA from 1 species